UGAGUUCCUAAAGAUAUAAUCUCAUAUAUCUAGGCAAAAUGAGAAUCAGGCCGGUGGUGGGCGUUUCUGAUAUUCCCAAGGUGCUUCUUUUUCAAGGUCUGUGUAUUCAAUGACCCUUUCUACUGAGAUCAUCUGAAAGAAAUAUGACAUCCCGAGGGGUUAGGAAUGGAGGGUGUCAUUUAUGGAUGUUAAGAGACCGUCAAUGAAAUGUUCUUCUUUCAUACAUAGUUGGUUAAGGAGAGAAGCCUAGCUACUUUUGGGCAGGGACGAAUUCCUGAGAGUUUCAAUUGUCUACCAUGAAUGAAGCCAUACUGGGGCAGGUGCAUAUUGGGGACACGUGACCUAGCACAAUCUCUUUAGCAUUCUUUUCUGGGAUAAAUGAUUUGUGCUUUGCAAUUAGCAAACACUGACUUUGCUACCUGUGUAGCUCCCAGAGAAGACCCUGUUAGUAAAACAUG
rnacentral:lncRNA from 1 species